GUUAAUGCAGUUGAAUGGGCAUUCUUGACAAAACAAGCUUAAACAGCAUAAUAGCUCUUGUUUAGAUUUUAUUAGUUUUGACAAAUUAUAUGAGAUCUUAAUUUUACUAGGUUUCUAUAUUUGAAUAGGAGUUAAAGGUCAAGUAACUCGAGGCCAACCUCAUAUAAGGAUGCCAUAUUCAAGGAGAAAGAUUAAGAUGAGUUUUUAUACAAAAAUCUUGUCUGUCCUAAAAGUAUCUUCCAAAACUCCUUGUGCUUUAGUGUUUAGAUGGGAAAUCUCUGCAUGAAGCAUCUUCAUUGGCUGUUUAAUCCACUCAUUGGCAGCACAAAGAGAUUUAUUUCCUUAGUUAAGAUAUUUUUGCUAGAAUCAACUUGAAGGAUGGGCAUGCUGAUAACCCCAUAUCUGACCAACACAUCCAUUUUUAGAUGUUUUUAAUCAAUCAUAUUUAACAUCAACAUAUAUGUUCAUUAUUGGGUUUGAACUGCUGAAGCUGUGGUUGCUUUCUACUAGUAGAUUUCUGAACUUUACCCACACUUGAACGGUUGCUGAGAUGUAAAUAUGCGUUUAUAGUCAUGUGGAGAAGCUGGAGAUGCAUACAGCUGUGCCAAGAAUAUUCAGCUGUUGUAAUCUUUCAAGUGGUUUUAAGCAAUGUUUUUAAUUUCAAAUAAUACCGUCCAUACCGGGCGGUACGUAUCAGUCCGACAGCAGAUCAGUACACGGACCGCCCACUAUCGGGAGGUACUGUCGAUUGGGGACCGAGGGAGAAGAAAGAAGAGGAAGAAGGGGAAGAAAGAUCAGGGAGAAGAAGAGAAGAACCUGGAGAUCAAUGCCGCUCUCCCUCCUCGUCUGUUGGCGACUUCUCAUCCGCACGGGAGAAGAGUCCUCAGCGUUGCGGGGAGAAGAGAGGCGACGUCAUGGUGAAAACGGUUUUUUUAUCCUUUUUUUGCGACAUCACCUCGACGAUGUCGCCCCGCGUGGGGAGAAGAGAGGCGAUGUCACAGAUUUUUUUUUACUUAUAUAUAUAUAUAUAUAUAUAUAUAUAUAUAUAUAUAUAUAUAUAUAUAUAUAUAUAUAUAUAUCAAAAUAUACCACUCGGUACUGUACCGUACCGAGCGAAUCUCGAAACUCCAGUAUGGUAUGAAAUUUCAGUCAUUGGUUUUAUGUAUCAAUUGCAUCUAUAUAGAGUAUUAGUAACAUUGUUUAUUGUAAGUAAAAAUGAAUCUUUUAGGAUCAGUAUAGGUUCUUUCUUGCAGUUUCUUUUACUUUGGUUGUUGGUCAUUUCCAAUCCUGAU
rnacentral:lncRNA from 1 species